rnacentral:snoRNA from 1 species
AUACCAUGAUGAGGGAAUUUUCUUAAUAAUUUCUUAAAUCGUUCACAUGCCUCAUAGGACUCAUCAUCAGAUUGCUGAAACAUAAUAAUUUUAUUUCUAAGCUU